rnacentral:lncRNA from 1 species
GUUUCUGACAGGAGCGGCCAUAAUGGCUGUGGGAAUCACUCUUAGUCACCUCAGUGCCUUUCUCUCUUCGUUGCAAGGGACACUCAAGAGUCGGGUGCCCAGCCAAGGCCAACACGGCGCAGUGGCAUUCUAUUCAGCCUGCUGUGGAAAAAAGAUGGCGGCGCCCUUUGUGCCCAUUAUAGCUGAGAGUGGAGCCUUAGCUGGAGCACCAUGGGCACGGCCAUCUUAGAGGAAGGCAGCAGCCGUACGGCAGAGAAGAUGCUCAUAUCCAGGACAAUUUGGAAAAAUAAACAAGGUUUGAAGAAGUCACGGUGCUGGCCAGGAAGCGGUCACAGAGUUGCCAAAACCAGUGGUCACUGAAAGUGUUAGAUUUGGGGAUAGGGCGGGGGUUCUGGGCUGGGUAAGGCUUUUGUGGGUUAGAUUAGACUCUGACUGAAUGGACGAAGCCGAGAACAGGAGUGAUGCUCCAUUAAAUGCUAAUACCCACAUGGGGCUUGCUAUUAAAACCACUGCCAGUGGGGAAGGGGAUGAGGAGGUGAAGGUGCAACUGUGUUAAUAUCUACAUGUUUCCUUCCAGAAGUAAAGGAAGAUGACAGUGGGGCACUUAAGAAUAUGAAAUUAUUAGAAUGCGAUCAUCCUACUUUGCAAUGUUUCCAGAUUUUUUAAAAAGUCACACUU